ACGUAGGGGGCAAGCGUUGUCCGGAUUUAUUGGGCGUAAAGAGCGUGUAGGCGGCCAGGUAGGUCCGUUGUGAAAACUCGAGGCUCAACCUCGAGACGUCGGCGGAAACCCUCUGGCUAGAGUCCGGAAGAGGAGAGUGGAAUUCCUGGUGUAGCGGUGAAAUGCGCAGAUAUCAGGAAGAACACCCGUGGCGAAGGCGGCUCACUGGAACGGUACUGACGCUGAGACGCGAAAGCGUGGGGAGCAAACAGG
rnacentral:rRNA from 1 species